rnacentral:rRNA from 1 species
GACAGAGGGUGCUAGCGUUGUUCGGAAUUACUGGGCGUAAAGGGCGCGUAGGCGGUCUGUUAAGUUCGGUGUGAAAUCCCCUGGCUCAACUGGGGAACUGCGCUGGAAACUGGCAGACUCGAGUACCGGAGAGGAGAGUGGAAUUCCUGGUGUAGCGGUGAAAUGCGUAGAUAUCAGGAGGAACACCGGUGGCGAAGGCGGCUCUCUGGACGGAUACUGACGCUGAGGCGCGAAAGCCGUGGGGAUCAAACAGG